UACGAAGGGGGCUAGCGUUGCUCGGAAUGACUGGGCGUAAAGGGUGCGUAGGCGGGUCUUUUAAGUCAGGGGUGAAAUCCUGGAGCUCAACUCCAGAACUGCCUUUGAUACUGAAGAUCUUGAGUUCGGGAGAGGUGAGUGGAACUGCGAGUGUAGAGGUGAAAUUCGUAGAUAUUCGCAAGAACAUCAGUGGCGAAGGCGGCUCACUGGCCCGAUACUGACGCUGAGGCACGAAAGCGUGGGGAGCAAACAGG
rnacentral:rRNA from 1 species